UACAGAGGGUGCAAGCGUUGCUCGGAAUCAUUGGGCGUAAAGGGUAGGUAGGUGGUCUCGUUUGUCUGGGGUGAAAGCCCUUGGCUUAACCGAGGAAGUGCAUCCGAAACUGGCGAGCUAGAGUACUAAAGAGGAUCGCGGAAUUCCCGGUGUAGAGGUGAAAUUCGUAGAUAUCGGGAGGAACACCGGUGGCGAAGGCGGCGAUCUGGGUAGAUACUGACGCUGAGGUGCGAAAGCGUGGGGAGCAAACAGG
rnacentral:rRNA from 1 species